GCCCGAAUGGUCUAGUGGUAUGAUUCAUGCUUCGGGUAUCCUUGGGUAUCCUCGCUCCAUGCAAAGGAGUCGUUCCUGACUGUGUGAGGUCUUGGGUUCAAUUCCCAAUUCGGGCC